GAAUCAGCUAUGAAAUUAUACUAAAACAAGGUUCACCUCAGGCUCGGUGAUUGUCGUGAAUAAAAAACCUCGACUUCGUCUCGGUUUUUAUUCACCAAUAAUCACCUCGUCUUCCGGCAGCGAAUAAUUGUUAAAUAAUUAACAACGUUAAAAAUUCAAGCGCUUCAUUGGUCAAGAGCCAUGAUCUAUUAGAGAACGGACGCACG